AUGAACCAAAAUUACU
rnacentral:sRNA from 1 species